rnacentral:rRNA from 1 species
GAAUGGAUCAUGGCUGAAAUCUAUACGGCCUUUGGAUUGGACUGCGGCCGAUCAGGCUGUUGGUGAGGUAAUGGCCCACCAAACCUAUAACCGGUACGGGCUUUGAGAGAAGGAGCCCGGAGAUGGGCACUGAGACAAGGGCCCAGGCCCUAUGGGGCGCAGCAGGCGCGAAACCUCUGCAAUAGGCGAAAGCUUGACAGGGUUACUCUGAGUGAUGUCCGUUAAGGGCAUCUUUUGGCACCUCUAAAAAUGGUGCAGAAUAAGGGGUGGGCAAGUCUGGUGUCAGCCGCCGCGGUAAUACCAGCACCCCGAGUGGUCGGGACGAUUAUUGGGCCUAAAGCAUCCGUAGCUUGUUCUGCAAGUCUUCCAUUAAAUCCACCUGCUCAACAGAUGGGCUGCGGAGGAUACUACAGGGCUAGGAGGCGGGAGAGGCAAGCGGUACUCAGUGGGUAGGGGUAAAAUCCACUGAUCCACUGAAGA